UGUCCAGCAACUCCUAUCCCUAUCUCCGAGUGGUACCGUCUGGACACUACGAACAACCUUAAGGAAGAUGGGGUAACAAACUCCGGUGGGAACUUUAGUCGUAGGCUAACAGGGAAGG
rnacentral:ribozyme from 1 species